rnacentral:lncRNA from 1 species
GUUAUCUGGAUUGAAGGGGAAUUUUGAUGUGCUAUUCCCUAUGGCCAAUUCAAGAAUGGCUACACUUUUUCAAUGGUAGAAGAAAUGGCGCUGUUACUUUCGCCUCUUUUUUGGAAGCUCUGUCCCCUCUCCAAAGGUUCUCAUUUUCAACCCCUCUUUUACUUUUUUUUAUUUGUGUAAUUUACAAGGUUCAACAUGGAUGGCGUGUUGCAUUUUAUGCUGUUGUUCAAAUUUUGACUAGCCUUGGUUUUUCUCCCCUGUAUUCUUUGUUUCCAAUCAAGUAGGAAGUCUGGUCCUUCGGCAAUUAGGUAUCAAAUGCCAGAGGAUCCAGCGAAGAUCAUUACAAGUUCAGUACCCCCUUUUUAUUCUGUUAAAAUCAAGGAAGCAGGUAUCUGUUCAUAACUUCUCCGGAAUUCAUGGGUAUUUAGUGCAAAAUGGCAUUUGCUGGUGCAGGUGCUGCACCGUCGAGAGUUACAAUGCCCAAAGUAGGUCGCACUGAAUUCAUAUUUGUGUAACUAAAAAUAUCCUCUAUUUCACAUAAACAUCAAAUGUCUUUCCGCAAAAAUUUAAGCAUAGCUACAAUUGUUUAUAUUAACAACUACAUGUUAAUGUUUAAUUACUAUUGCGCCCGCUUUUACAAGAGCUUAAGCAAUGUAAUAUUUUGAGAUAAUAAUUGUAUACUGACUAAAAUGAAGACUACUCUCUCAAAUCAUCAAGAACGCAUGCUGACACUGAAAAGCUAAUGCUUGUUUUGCUGCGCAGGAUUUCAUUUAGCGAUCAUGAUUUAAAUGCUGCCAAUGAUCUGGAAUACAGCCACUGAGAAUCGUAAGUUGUAAUGUUGGACUAUUGGUUAUAUACAAGAUAUAUGUCCUGACAGGAUUGUAGCUAUCCAAAAAGGUAUACUAUUUUCUUAUUGCAAUAUGUAACUCCAGCAUACUAUUAGGAUUCUUUUUUCUUGAUGUUAUGAACUAAAUAUAUAGUUCUCUUCAAUUUUUUCUUCCAUCGUUUACUUUUCCAGAAUUAUCUGUUUUUG